ensembl:lncRNA
CACCUGACAAGCGAGCCGAUAAGGCAACAUUUAUCUUGCUUGGUUUGCGUUUCGUUUCCUCGACCCAGUCCGUCAAAAUUGCUGUGUUCUCUAUCGUGUGAAUCUGUAACACAACACAACGGAAGCUGUAAAUGACCGGUUGGGAGAAAAUGUUUGAUCUUGAUGAUAUCACCAAAUCCCGGGAGGAACCACCGGUGCAGCCAAUGAUGAACUUAUACCCAAGAACUCUGAUGGGGGACCAGAGGAGGAGCUUCAAGGCGGCCUGGUACCAUAUCCACCCCUAGGCCAAGCAUAUGACGGUGCUUCCGUUAUGAGUGGCAAGCAUUCAGGCGUCCAGGCACACAUUGAAGAACAAGCAAAGCCUUUUACAUCCACUGCAGUGCACACUGUCUAAACUUAAUUUUAGUGGAUAUAGUCAAAGCUGUCCCUGAGGUCGGACAGUUCUUCUGCUUACUAGAAAGACUUUACGUCUUCACAUCCGGGUCAUAUGUGCAUCAAAAAUGGCUUAGCAUACAAAAAGAGAUGUACCCAGGUGCACCUAGAGAGCUUCAGAGACUAAGUGACACUAGCUGGGCAUGUCGAUAUAUGGCUCUACAUACUAUUAUGGAUAGAUUACCUGCCAUUAAGCGAGUUCUGCAAGAUAUAGUCCAAGAACACAAUGGUGACAGAUCUGUUGAGGCACGAGGUCUGCUUGCACAGAUAGAUUUACAAUUCAUUGUGUGCCGUGGUACACUCCAUAAAGUGUUUGGAGAAGCAGAAUUUCUAUCAGAUAUGCUACAGUCUUCAUCACUUGACCUGUCAAAGGCUGUUGAUUUAGUUGAAGCCUUAGUUCAAACUUUGAAUGACUACAGGGAUGAGUCAUUUUUUGAUGACCUAUGGAAUGAAGUGUUGAACACAGCUGAGCAAUGUGAUACUGCAAUACACCCCCCUGCAAAACGACCAAAAAAGCUAAGCUUCAAUUUAAUGGAGUCUGUGUACUCAGUACAGUGGGUCAGAGGUCAGAUUCAGAACAAGAAAAAGGCAGUUUUCGUACAACCCUUUUUUAGAUCAUAUGCUCAAUGAGCGUAACAGAAGGUUCCCUAUCAAACACUGUGACAUAAUGAAUGGCAUCCAAACUCUAAACCCUACAAGUGACGUGUUUCUCAAAGAGAAGUCCCGGUUUCCAUUUGCUAGAAUGUAUGAAUCAAAUAUUGAGGACUUGGGACAUGAACUACAGCAGUUCAGAAGAAUUUUAGAGAGGAAAAUACAGUGGCAUGCAGAGACCCUCCAGUGUAGUAGAGCUGGCAUUAUUCAUUGAGCCUUAUAAAUAAGUUUUCUUUGCGCUCUUUAAACUGUGCAAGAUAGCUGUUUCAAUCCCUGUUAGUACUGCUUCUUGUGAAAUACAUUUUUCUGCACUAAAACUGGUGAAAACGUAUCUCAGGUCUACAAUGUCAGAUGACAGAUUAAACAAUUUAGGUGUAUUAAGUAUUGAGUCAAGGAGGGCAAAGGCUUUGAGUCUAGAUUAAUUUGCUGAUCUUUUUGCAAAAAAACACAAAAACCGGAGAAUACAGUUGAUG